UGAAAGUCCAGAUUCUCCCAUCACCAGCCUCUCUCAUAGGCAGAGGUGGCCAUGUGACCCAGUUUCGGCUAACGAGAUGUAAGGUGGACUCUACUCAGGGUCUUCCAGGAAAGAUAUUUUCCUUUCUAAUUGUGGUGAAGACUGCCAGCUGCUGUAACCUUCUGGAACUAUGAAGUCACCUUGAGAAAGGAAGCUGUGACUAGUAGAAUGACAAGAGAGAUGGAGGCUUGUUUUCUGAAGGGAUCACAGA
rnacentral:lncRNA from 1 species